GAUGAACGCUGGCGGCGUGCCUAAUACAUGCAAGUCGAGCGAACAGACGAGGAGCUUGUUCCCCUGACGUUAGCGGCGGACGGGUGUGUAACACGUGGAUAACCUACCUAUAAGACUGGGAUAACUUCGGGAAACCGGAGCUAAUACCGGAUAAUAUAUUGAACCGUAUGGUUCAAUAGUGAAAGACGGUUUUGCUGUUACUAAUAGAUGGAUCCGCGCCGCAUUAGCUAGUUGGUAAGGUAACGGCUUACCAAGGCAACGAUGCGUAGCCGACCUGAGAGGGUGAUCGGCCACACUGGAACUGAGACACGGUCCAGACUCCUACGGGAGGCAGCAGUAGGGAAUCUUCCGCAAUGGGCGAAAGCCUGACGGAGCAACGCCGCGUGAGUGAUGAAGGUCUUCGGAUCGUAAAACUCUGUUAUUAGGGAAGAACAAAUGUGUAAGUAACUAUGCACGUCUUGACGGUACCUAAUCAGAAAGCCACGGCUAACUACGUG
rnacentral:rRNA from 1 species